GAUGAAGAACGUAGCGAAAUGCGAUAAGUAAUGUGAAUUGCAGAAUUCAGUGAAUCAUCGAAUCUCUGAACGCACAUUGCGCCCCCUGGUAUUCCGGGGGGCAUGCCUGUUCGAGCGUCAUUUCACCACUCAAGCCUCGCUUGGUAUUGGGCAUCGCGGUCCGCCGCGCGCCUCAAAUCGACCGGCUGGGUCUUCUGUCCCCUAAGCGUUGUGGAAACUAUUCGCUAAAGGGUGUUCGGGAGGCUACGCCGUAAAACAACCCCAUUUCUAAGGUUGACCUCGGAUCAGGUAGGGAUACCCGCUGAACUUAAGCAUAUCAAUAAGCGGAGGA
rnacentral:misc_RNA from 1 species